rnacentral:rRNA from 1 species
GACGAACGCUGGCGGCGUGCUUAACACAUGCAAGUCGAACGGAAAGGCUCCAGAUUGCUGGAGUACUCGAGUGGCGAAAGGGUGAGUAACACGUGGGUAAUCUGCCCUGCACUCUGGGAUAAGCCUGGGAAACUGGGUCUAAUACUGGAUAUGACCUUUCUCCUUAUGGGGUUUGGUGGAAAGUCUUUCGGUGUAGGAUGAGCCCGCGGCCUAUCAGCUUGUUGGUGGGGUGAUGGCCUACCAAGGCGACGACGGGUAGCCGGCCUGAGAGGGUGAUCGGCCACAUUGGGACUGAGAUCCUGCCCAGACUCCUACCGGACGCAGCAGGUAGGGAUAUUGCACAAUAGGCGGAAACCUGAUGCAGCGAAGCCGCUUGGUGGAUUACGGCCUUCGGGUUGUAAACCUCUUUCACCAGGGACGAAUCGUAGGUGACGGUACAUGCAGAAGGAGCACCGGGUAACUAAGUG